AAGAUGGACGGAGAGAGGAGAGAGGGGUGGAAGCAGAGUGUAGAGGCAGGAAGGUGGAGGCCUGAGGGCGGUUUCGCAAGGAGAGGAGAGAGAGAGAGAGAGAAGAGAGCAAAGAAUGGGACGACGGUGGGGGCGCUCCGCUUAAAACAACAGGAAACUGAGUGAGAGCACCUGACGCUGACGGUGAGCAUCAAGGGCCGCGCCACGUGCCGCUAAACUGCAGCCAAAGCUCAUUUCUGAGGCGGCGGUGCUGCUAGCGAUGUGCAGAGGGGUGUGUGAGCUCCGGCUAAUCUCUCUUUAAAGUGGAUAUCCUGCUCAAUGCUGCUUUUGUUUCUGAGGCCUGCUUUCACAAGGACAUACAAUCCCUUGUGUCCACUCCUCCCCUCCUCCUCUCUUUGUCCUACUUGGCGUUUUAUCUCCGUUGUUCACUGCACACGCCUCCUUUCAUGAAACCCCUAUUAGGGUUUUAUGGGGUUUUAGUAACUUUGUCUUGACGUGUCUGUGCGACGCCGAAGGCCUGUGCGCGCGCUUCGAGUACGUCAAAUUCUUACACUCGUGUCCAUGUGUUGAACGGACACAGAAAUUAGGAGGAAAUCUCAAUGGACCUGCUGCCCUCCGCCGAUGCAGAGACCUGCUGGGAUGGCAGCUGGGCUGCUCGCUUCCCAUUCACAGCGAGGAGGGAUGCUUGGUGCUACUUCAGAACCAGAUCUCAAAAUAACUCCGCGGGCUUCUCUUGAUGACCCCGCAUUCCUUCCCGAAGACCAACUCUGGGCCUGCCGGGCCAGGCAGACAUAACAAAAAGCAUGGAACUGAUAAAGUCGGAAAGUAUUUCACUCACGCAGGAGACCCUUGCUGGAGUCUGUGUGCACUCCCCCUGAAAGACCGGGCCGAAAUACCACCGCUCUGUUUUGUCUGCCUAAAACUAAUAAAUCACGCAUCUCAGAAGGAGAACACAAAGCAACGCAAUUAAAGUCAUUUAUUUUAUCAUAGCCGACGUUGGCUUCUGCAGAGACUGCAGGGACACUGGGCAGAGCGCCUGGCUUAUUUAGAGUGGAAACAGAAAAUCGACGCUCCCCUCUACCCCCAGGAUCAGAUGUCAGGUUUAUGCGAUGUAAAAACAUUGAAUUUAUUGUGGCAUAAAUCCUGUAAAAUUUAACUGAAAAACAGACUUGUUAGUAGGAAACAUGUGACAAAUAAAAGUCUUAAAGUUUCUGAGGGUUUGGGGUCAAACAGCCCUGUUCGCUGUGGGUUAUGUGUUCGUUAGGUGACAUGCAAUGAAUCAGACCAACAUCCAUGUAUUUGGGAGGAUCUUAGCCAGGACUAAAUGUUUUGUUUGGAAGCAUAUGCGUUUGUUUUUUUUUGUUUUGUUUUUUUAACCCUACUUCUUAGUCCAGACAGAGAGAAUACAUGAAACCAUACCAACUGGAAACUUGUGUGACACCGUUGGCGUUACAGCCUCCCUGACAAGCACGUCUUGUAUUUACAUCAGCUUUUGAGAAACAUCCACUUUGACAAUAUUCCACUAAUGUAAAA